GCUUGUCUCAAAGAUUAAGCCAUGCAUGUCUAAGUAUAAACGACUUUAUACUGUGAAACUGCGAAUGGCUCAUUAUAUCAGUUAUAGUUUAUUUGAUGGUCCUUGCUACUUGGAUAACUGUAGUUAUUCUAGAGCUAAUACAUGCAUUAAACCCAGACUUCUGGAAGGGGUGUAUUGAUUAGAUGGAAACCAAUGCGGGGUAACCCGGAAUAUGGUGAUUCAUAAUAACUUUCGGAUCGAUUUAUCGAUGCAUCAUUCAAGUUUCUGCCCUAUCAGCUUUAGAUGGUAGGGGAUUGGCCUAUAAUGGCUUUAACGGGUAACGGAGAAUUAGGGUUCGAUUCCGGAUAGGGAGCCUGAGAAAUGGCUACUACAUCCAAGGAAGGCAGCAGG
rnacentral:rRNA from 1 species